rnacentral:rRNA from 1 species
CUACGGGAGGGCUCCAGUGAGGAAUAUUGCACAAUGGGGGGAACCCUGAUGCAGCAACGCCGCGUGGAGGAUGACGCAUUUCGGUGUGUAAACUCCUUUUAUAUGUCAAGAAAAUGACGGUAGCAUAUGAAUAAGCACCGGCUAACUCCGUGCCAGCAGCCGCGGUAAUACGGAGGGUGCAAGCGUUACUCGGAAUCACUGGGCGUAAAGGACGCGUAGGCGGGUUGGAAAGUCAGGUGUGAAAUCCUACAGCUUAACUGUAGAACUGCACUUGAAACUUCUAAUCUAGAGUAUGGGAGGGGGAGAUGGAAUUAGUGGUGUAGGGGUAAAAUCCGUAGAUAUCACUAGGAAUACCUAAAGCGAAGGCGAUCUCCUGGAACAUUACUGACGCUAAGGCGUGAAAGCGUGGGGAGCAAACAGGAUUAGAUACCCUCGUAGUC